GUAGGGAAUAUUGGACAAUGGGCGGAAGCCUGAUCCAGCCAUGCCGCGUGGAGGAUGACUGACCUCUGGGUUGUAAACUCCUUUUGUACAGGAAGAAACCUCCUCAUUUAUGAGUGAGCUGACGGUACUGUAAGAAUAAGCACCGGCUAACUCCGUGCCAGCAGCCGCGGUAAUACGGAGGGUGCAAGCGUUAUCCGGAUUCACUGGGUUUAAAGGGUGCGUAGGCGGUUUUAUAAGUCAGUGGUGAAAUCAACGGGCUCAACCUGUUAACUGCAAUUGAUACUGUGUAUCUUGAAGAUGAGAGAGGUAGGCGGAAUGUUGCAUGUAGCGGUGAAAUGCUUAGAUAUGCUACGGAACACCGAUUGCGAAGGCAGCUUACUAUUUCGUAAUUGACGCUGAGGCACGAAAGCGUGGGUAGCGAACAGGAUUAGAAACCCCAGUAGUCC
rnacentral:rRNA from 1 species